rnacentral:rRNA from 1 species
GAUUAAGUUAUUAAGGGCGCACGGUGGAUGCCUUGGCACUAGAAGCCGAUGAAGGACGUUACUAACGACGAUAUGCUUUGGGGAGCUGUAAGUAAGCUUUGAUCCAGAGAUUUCCGAAUGGGGAAACCCAGCAUGAGUUAUGUCAUGUUAUCGAUAUGUGAAUACAUAGCAUAUCAGAAGGCACACCCGGAGAACUGAAACAUCUUAGUACCCGGAGGAAGAGAAAGAAAAUUCGAUUCCCUUAGUAGCGGCGAGCGAAACGGGAAGAGCCCAAACCAACAAGCUUGCUUGUUGGGGUUGUAGGACACUCUAUACGGAGUUACAAAGGACGACAUUAGACGAAUCAUCUGGAAAGAUGAAUCAAAGAAGGUAAUAAUCCUGUAGUCGAAAAUGUUGUCUCUCUUGAGUGGAUCCUGAGUACGACGGAGCACGUGAAAUUCCGUCGGAAUCUGGGAGGACCAUCUCCUAAGGCUAAAUACUCUCUAGUGACCGAUAGUGAACCAGUACCGUGAGGGAAAGGUGAAAAGCACCCCGGAAGGGGAGUGAAAUAGAACCUGAAACCGUGUGUUACAAGUAGUCAGAGCCCGUUAAUGGGUGAUGGCGUGCCUUUUGUAGAAUGAACCGGCGAGUUACGAUUUGAUGCAAGGUUAAGCAGUAAAUGUGGAGCCGUAGCGAAAGCGAGUCUGAAUAGGGCGUUUAGUAUUUGGUCGUAGACCCGAAACCAGGUGAUCUACCCUUGGUCAGGUUGAAGUUCAGGUAACACUGAAUGGAGGACCGAACCGACUUACGUUGAAAAGUGAGCGGAUGAACUGAGGGUAGCGGAGAAAUUCCAAUCGAACCUGGAGAUAGCUGGUUCUCUCCGAAAUAGCUUUAGGGCUAGCCUCAAGUGAUGAUUAUUGGAGGUAGAGCACUGUUUGGACGAGGGGCCCCUCUCGGGUUACCGAAUUCAGACAAACUCCGAAUGCCAAUUAAUUUAACUUGGGAGUCAGAACAUGGGUGAUAAGGUCCGUGUUCGAAAGGGAAACAGCCCAGACCACCAGCUAAGGUCCCAAAAUAUAUGUUAAGUGGAAAAGGAUGUGGCGUUGCCCAGACAACUAGGAUGUUGGCUUAGAAGCAGCCAUCAUUUAAAGAGUGCGUAAUAGCUCACUAGUCGAGUGACACUGCGCCGAAAAUGUACCGGGGCUAAACAUAUUACCGAAGCUGUGGAUUGUCCUUUGGACAAUGGUAGGAGAGCGUUCUAAGGGCGUUGAAGCAUGAUCGUAAGGACAUGUGGAGCGCUUAGAAGUGAGAAUGCCGGUGUGAGUAGCGAAAGACGGGUGAGAAUCCCGUCCACCGAUUGACUAAGGUUUCCAGAGGAAGGCUCGUCCGCUCUGGGUUAGUCGGGUCCUAAGCUGAGGCCGACAGGCGUAGGCGAUGGAUAACAGGUUGAUAUUCCUGUACCACCUAUAAUCGUUUUAAUCGAUGGGGGGACGCAGUAGGAUAGGCGAAGCGUGCGAUUGGAUUGCACGUCUAAGCAGUAAGGCUGAGUAUUAGGCAAAUCCGGUACUCGUUAAGGCUGAGCUGUGAUGGGGAGAAGACAUUGUGUCUUCGAGUCGUUGAUUUCACACUGCCGAGAAAAGCCUCUAGAUAGAAAAUAGGUGCCCGUACCGCAAACCGACACAGGUAGUCAAGAUGAGAAUUCUAAGGUGAGCGAGCGAACUCUCGUUAAGGAACUCGGCAAAAUGACCCCGUAACUUCGGGAGAAGGGGUGCUCUUUAGGGUUAACGCCCAGAAGAGCCGCAGUGAAUAGGCCCAAGCGACUGUUUAUCAAAAACACAGGUCUCUGCUAAACCGUAAGGUGAUGUAUAGGGGCUGACGCCUGCCCGGUGCUGGAAGGUUAAGAGGAGUGGUUAGCUUCUGCGAAGCUACGAAUCGAAGCCCCAGUAAACGGCGGCCGUAACUAUAACGGUCCUAAGGUAGCGAAAUUCCUUGUCGGGUAAGUUCCGACCCGCACGAAAGGCGUAACGAUUUGGGCACUGUCUCAACGAGAGACUCGGUGAAAUCAUAGUACCUGUGAAGAUGCAGGUUACCCGCGACAGGACGGAAAGACCCCGUGGAGCUUUACUGUAGCCUGAUAUUGAAAUUCGGCACAGCUUGUACAGGAUAGGUAGGAGCCUUUGAAACGUGAGCGCUAGCUUACGUGGAGGCGCUGGUGGGAUACUACCCUAGCUGUGUUGGCUUUCUAACCCGCACCACUUAUCGUGGUGGGAGACAGUGUCAGGCGGGCAGUUUGACUGGGGCGGUCGCCUCCUAAAAGGUAACGGAGGCGCUCAAAGGUUCCCUCAGAAUGGUUGGAAAUCAUUCAUAGAGUGUAAAGGCAUAAGGGAGCUUGACUGCGAGACCUACAAGUCGAGCAGGGUCGAAAGACGGACUUAGUGAUCCGGUGGUUCCGCAUGGAAGGGCCAUCGCUCAACGGAUAAAAGCUACCCCGGGGAUAACAGGCUUAUCUCCCCCAAGAGUUCACAUCGACGGGGAGGUUUGGCACCUCGAUGUCGGCUCAUCGCAUCCUGGGGCUGUAGUCGGUCCCAAGGGUUGGGCUGUUCGCCCAUUAAAGCGGUACGCGAGCUGGGUUCAGAACGUCGUGAGACAGUUCGGUCCCUAUCCGUCGUGGGCGUAGGAAAUUUGAGAGGAGCUGUCCUUAGUACGAGAGGACCGGGAUGGACAUACCUCUGGUGUACCAGUUGUCGUGCCAACGGCAUAGCUGGGUAGCUAUGUGUGGACGGGAUAAGUGCUGAAAGCAUCUAAGCAUGAAGCCCCCCUCAAGAUGAGAUUUCCCAACUUCGGUUAUAAGAUCCCUCAAAGAUGAUGAGGUUAAUAGGUUCGAGGUGGAAGCAUGGUGACAUGUGGAGCUGACGAAUACUAAUCGAUCGAAGACUUAAUCAA